rnacentral:misc_RNA from 1 species
UAAUUUUGAUUGAUAAAAGAAAUAAAAAUUUUUGCCAAUAUUUCACGUUUUACGUUAUAUUAUUACAAAUGCAUUAACAUCGAAGAGGCCAACACAAGUAUUCAUAAAUUGAAAUUAUAUUCGAGUGAAAUUAUCAAUUUCAUAAUUGGAAAAAAAAAAAUUUACUUACGGAUUUGAUUUAUGAAGAAUGUCAGUGAUCUUAACGCCACCAAAAACCAGAUGAAUCGGCAACAUCAAAGACCAGUUGCGGUAGGACCAAAGGUUUGCUGCAAAUUGAUGAUUACGUCAAUAAUACACAAAUUCAUAUCUUGACAGCGGGACCUCCAUUUUGAAUAUUCUUCUCUUUUCUCUCCUUUAAUCCUAUUCAUCUUCAUUUUCACUUUCUUUCUUUCUUUCUUCUUC